UACGAACUGUGCAAACGUUAUUCGGAAUCACUGGGCUUAAAGGGUGCGUAGGCGGCUGUCUAAGCAGGGUGCGAAAGCCCCCGGCUCAACCGGGGAAUUGCGUUCUGAACUGGACGGCUGGAGUGGGAUAGAGGUGUGCGGAACUUCCGGUGGAGCGGUGAAAUGUGUUGAUAUCGGAAGGAACGCCGGUGGCGAAAGCGGCACACUGGGUCUCAACUGACGCUGAGGCACGAAAGCCAGGGGAGCAAACGGG
rnacentral:rRNA from 1 species